rnacentral:rRNA from 1 species
UCUCCGUUGGUGAACCAGCGGAGGGAUCAUUACCGAGUUUACAACUCCCAAACCCCUGUGAACAUACCUUAUGUUGCCUCGGCGGAUCAGCCCGCGCCCCGUAAAAAGGGACGGCCCGCCGCAGGAACCUUAAACUCUGUUUUUAGUGGAACUUCUGAGUAUAAAAAACAAAUAAAUCAAAACUUUCAACAACGGAUCUCUUGGUUCUGGCAUCGAUGAAGAACGCAGCAAAAUGCGAUAAGUAAUGUGAAUUGCAGAAUUCAGUGAAUCAUCGAAUCUUUGAACGCACAUUGCGCCCGCCAGUAUUCUGGCGGGCAUGCCUGUUCGAGCGUCAUUUCAACCCUCAAGCCCAGCUUGGUGUUGGGAGCUGCAGUCCUGCUGCACUCCCCAAAUACAUUGGCGGUCACGUCGAGCUUCCAUAGCGUAGUAAUUUACAUAUCGUUACUGGUAAUCGUCGCGGCCACGCCGUUAAACCCCAACUUCUGAAUGUUGACCUCGGAUCAGGUAGGAAUACCCGCUGAACUUAAGCAUAUCAAUAA